rnacentral:rRNA from 1 species
ACGUAGGUGGCGAGCGUUACUCGGAAUUACUAGGCGUAAAGCGUAUGUAGGCGGUCAGAUAAGUCUUUAGUGAAAUUUCCCGGCUCAACCGGGAAAGGUCUAAGGAUACUGUUUGGCUUGAGUGUGGGAGGGGGAGACGGAAUUCCUGGUGUAGCGGUGAAAUGCGUAGAUAUCAGGAGGAACACCGAUGGCGAAAGCAGUCUCCUGGCCCAAUACUGACGCUAAUGUACGAAAGCUAGGGUAGCAAACAG